rnacentral:rRNA from 1 species
CAUGCAAGUCGAGCGGUAGAGAGAAGCUUGCUUCUCUUGAGAGCGGCGGACGGGUGAGUAAUGCCUAGGAAUCUGCCUGGUAGUGGGGGAUAACGUUCGGAAACGGACGCUAAUACCGCAUACGUCCUACGGGAGAAAGCAGGGGACCUUCGGGCCUUGCGCUAUCAGAUGAGCCUAGGUCGGAUUAGCUAGUUGGUGAGGUAAUGGCUCACCAAGGCGACGAUCCGUAACUGGUCUGAGAGGAUGAUCAGUCACACUGGAACUGAGACACGGUCCAGACUCCUACGGGAGGCAGCAGUGGGGAAUAUUGGACAAUGGGCGAAAGCCUGAUCCAGCCAUGCCGCGUGUGUGAAGAAGGUCUUCGGAUUGUAAAGCACUUUAAGUUGGGAGGAAGGGUUGUAGAUUAAUACUCUGCAAUUUUGACGUUACCGACAGAAUAAGCACCGGCUAACUCUGUGCCAGCAGCCGCGGUAAUACAGAGGGUGCAAGCGUUAAUCGGAAUUACUGGGCGUAAAGCGCGCGUAGGUGGUUCGUUAAGUUGGAUGUGAAAGCCCCGGGCUCAACCUGGGAACUGCAUUCAAAACUGACGAGCUAGAGUAUGGUAGAGGGUGGUGGAAUUUCCUGUGUAGCGGUGAAAUGCGUAGAUAUAGGAAGGAACACCAGUGGCGAAGGCGACCACCUGGACUGAUACUGACACUGAGGUGCGAGAGCGUGGGGAGCAAAC